CGCACAUUGCGCCCUUUUUGGGCAUGCCUGUUCGAGCGUCAUUUAAACCCUCAAGCUCAGCUUGGUGUUGGGUGCUUGUCCGCCAUGGUGGACUCACCUCAAAUGCAUUGGCGGCCUUCAUGUUGGCUUCGAGCGCAGUAGAAACGCGCCCGGUGUCCUGACGUGAUGGCCCUCCAUGAGCCCCUCAUUUCAUCUUGACCUCGAAUCAGGUAGGGAUACCCGCUGAACUUAA
rnacentral:misc_RNA from 1 species